AAGGAAUUAAUUCAAGGUAAGUCCAUUUGGCUAGAAGCUUAUAAGAACUAAAUUGCCUCAAUCAUUUCCAAAUAUGCAUGUAAAUUAGGAAGCAUCAACAAGAAUCAAGCCAAGGCUAUUGUGCAAGCAAUCAAUGGGGCAAAAUACACCAAAUGAUUAUGAUGAUGGCUCAAAUUCUCACAAAGGUAAACUUAUCACUUCCAUAUUGAGC
rnacentral:lncRNA from 1 species